GACGAACGCUGGCGGCGUGCUUAACACAUGCAAGUCGAACGGAAAGGCCCUGCUUUUGUGGGGUGCUCGAGUGGCGAACGGGUGAGUAACACGUGAGUAACCUGCCCUUGACUUUGGGAUAACUUCAGGAAACUGUGGCUAAUACCGGAUAGGAGCUCCUGCUGCAUGGUGGGGGUUGGAAAGUUUCGGCGGUUGGGGAUGGACUCGCGGCUUAUCAGCUUGUUGGUGGGGUAGUGGCUUACCACGGCUUUGACGGGUAGCCGGCCUGAGAGGGUGACCGGCCACAUUGGGACUGGGAUAGGGCCCAGAGUGCUACGGGAGGCAGCAGUGGGGAAUAUUGCACAAUGGGCGGAAGCCUGAUGCAGCAACGCCGCGUGCGGGAUGACGGCCUUAGGGUUGUAAACCGCGUGAGCCUGUGACGAAGCGUGAGUGACGGUAAUGGGUAAAGAAGCACCGGCUAACUACGUG
rnacentral:rRNA from 1 species